CAGUGCUUUGCUUAUAAUAGGUACUCAGUAUUUAUAGCACUCAUUAAUAAACCUACUGUCAAUUAUAUUUUGUAAAAGGUUCAUCUGAUAGUAUUCUUUGGAUGAGGAAGAACUUGAAAAAGUAUUCAUUGAUGUUAUAGCAUCAAUUUUUCCAGCUUGAAGAUUGACAAGGAGGGACACAAAAUUCAUAACUCUCCUAGUCUUUCCUUAAACCCUUACUGUCAGGAAAAUUAAACUUUCAAAGAUGCCAGCAACCUGAAGACCCAAGGCUUUGCUGUUGGCAGAAUUCAUCCUUGUCCUGAAAGCUUAUCAUCAGAACUCCAGAACAAGAUCUUCAAAGCCUGAAGAGAUGAAGAAAUAUUGAAGUGGAGUUAAUGUUUUGUGAUUACCUAGUGGAUUUGAUACAUGAGGAAGACCACACAUGAAAGCAUACUUGGAGGCAGUGGACUGUUACUACGGCUUCUGCUUGGAAAGGUCUUAGCUCAGAGCUACAAGUGACUGCCUCAUUAUUCUGGUCUCAGCUCAGCUUGUCUUCUUGUUGCCUUUAAUGACCUUCUCAGCUCCGAUUAGCUCUCCCAUCCACCACCGUUCAGAUCAUCAGUUGCCCACUUUUGCUGGGAUACCUUAUUAGUUAAGGCGGUUGCUCCUAACCUUUGCGAUAAAGACAACCCAAUACCAACAACAAUCAACCAACCAAGUAAAUAAAAAGAAAUCUGUACUUCUGUGGCU